CCUACGGGGGGCAGCAGUGAGGAAUAUUGGUCAAUGGGAGAGAGCCUGAACCAGCCAAGCCGCGUGAGGGAAGACGGCCCUAUGGGUUGUAAACCGCUUUUGUCGGAGAACAAAACACGGGACGUGUCCCGGACUGCGUGUAUCCGAAGAAAAAGCAGCGGCUAACUCCGUGCCAGCAGCCGCGGUAAUACGGAGGAUGCGAGCGUUAUCCGGAUUUAUUGGGUUUAAAGGGUGCGUAGGCGGUCCGUUAAGUCAGCGGUAAAAUUGCGGGGCUCAACCCCGUCGAGCCGUUGAAACUGGCAGCCUUGCGUUGGCGUGCAGUACGCGGCAUGCGCGUUGUCGCGGU
rnacentral:rRNA from 1 species